rnacentral:tRNA from 1 species
GCGGGGUAGUUCAACUUUUAGAACACGUUCUUUCCCAGAACGAGGUGUAGGUGUAAGUCCUAUCCUCCGCUCCA